UGACCCUGGAAAUCCAGAGUGGGUGGGGCCUGUCUGACCAUUUCUAGGCGACCCACUCUUGGUUUCCAGGGUUG
rfam:Macaca mulatta chromosome 1, whole genome shotgun sequence.